rnacentral:rRNA from 1 species
CCUACGGGAGGCAGCAGUCGAGAAUCAUUCACAAUGGGGGAAACCCUGAUGGUGCGACGCCGCGUGGGGGAAUGAAGGUCUUCGGAUUGUAAACCCCUGUCAUGUGGGAGCAAAUUAAAAAGAUAGUACCACAAGAGGAAGAGACGGCUAACUCUGUGCCAGCCGCCGCGGUAAUACAGAGGUCUCAAGCGUUGUUCGGAAUCACUGGGCGUAAAGCGUGCGUAGGCUGUUUCGUAAGUCGUGUGUGAAAGGCGCGGGCUCAACCCGCGGACGGCACAUGAUACUGCGAGACUAGAGUAAUGGAGGGGGAACAGGAAUUCUAGGUGUAGCAGUGAAAUGCGGAGAGAUAGAGAGGAACACUAGUGGCGAAGGCGGGUUCCUGGACAUUAACUGACGCUGAGGCACGAAGGCCAGGGGAGCGAAAGGGAUUAGAUACCCGAGUAGUC